rnacentral:rRNA from 1 species
AUUGAACGCUGGCGGCAUGCUUUACACAUGCAAGUCGGACGGCAGCACAGAGAAGCUUGCUUCUUGGGUGGCGAGUGGCGAACGGGUGAGUAACAUAUCGGAACGUACCGGGCAGUGGGGGAUAACUAAUCGAAAGAUUAGCUAAUACCGCAUAUCUUCUGAGGAAGAAAGCAGGGGACCAUUUGGCCUUGCGCUGUUUGAGCGGCCGAUAUCUGAUUAGCUAGUUGGUGGGGUAAGGGCCUACCAAGGCGACGAUCAGUAGCGGGUCUGAGAGGAUGAUCCGCCACACUGGGACUGAGACACGGCCCAGACUCCUACGGGAGGCAGCAGU